GGUUAAAAAGAUAUGUCCAAUUCAACUGCUGCCGAAGAAGGUCACUAGCUAAGUAGUUGGUCUGAGAUUCCAGAGUCCUGAAGGAAAAGUCUGCUUCCUUUCCCUACAAAAUGGUUUGGAAGAUGAUCCUGUUGUCCUUCAAUGACAGGGAUACAGUGAAUGAGUUUUUAGGGGAACUCCUACAGUUUAGGGGAAGAGUUUCAGUCCCUCAGGAACCACACAUGGAGCGUCCUUUCUCUGCACUUGAGUGGCAGAAAAUGAGGAAGGACUGAGAGGAGGUAGCAGUUGCCUCUACAAAACCAUGUCCCCACGUGCCCUGAACUCAGUGAAAGACCGUCCACUUGUGUAAGAAGGUAAAGGAGCUGAGUCCAGCAGUGACAAGGCCUUCUGAAUUGUAAUGAGGAGCUGCUUCUCCGGACCAGCAUAGUGUGAUCAUUGACCUAAGGCUGAAUUGAGGACAUCUGGAUUCA